UACGUAGGGUCCGAGCGUUGUCCGGAUUUAUUGGGCGUAAAGAGCUCGUAGGCGGUUUCGUAAGUCGGAUGUGAAAACUCAGGGCUCAACCCGGAGACGCCAUCCGAUACUGCGAUGACUGGAGUCUGGUAGGGGAUCACGGAAUACCUGGUGUAGCGGUGAAAUGCGCAGAUAUCAGGUGGAACACCGAUGGCGAAGGCAGUGAUCUGGGCCAGUACUGACGCUGAGGAGCGAAAGCGUGGGGAGCGAACAGG
rnacentral:rRNA from 1 species